GCACAACACACUACUUCGCCCCUUACUUCACCUAGACGGGUGGUUGAACUGGCCCGGUUCUAUCAAUCGGCUGGCAACGCCAAGCCCUGUGCUACGUCUAUGUACUAUUGCACCAAAUUUUGAGAAUUAU